GACGAACGCUGGCGGCGUGCCUAAUACAUGCAAGUCGAGCGGACCUUUGGGAGCUUGCUCCCAAAAGUUAGCGGCGGACGGGUGAGUAACACGUGGGCAACCUGCCUGUAAGACUGGGAUAACUUCGGGAAACCGGAGCUAAUACCGGAUAACUCUUAUCAACACAUGUUGAUAAGCUAAAAGACGGUUUCGGCUGUCACUUACAGAUGGGCCCGCGGCGCAUUAGCUAGUUGGUGAGGUAACGGCUCACCAAGGCAACGAUGCGCAGCCGACCUGAGAGGGUGAUCGGCCACACUGGGACUGAGACACGGCCCAGACUCCUACGGGAGGCAGCAGUAGGGAAUCUUCCGCAAUGGACGAAAGUCUGACGGAGCAACGCCGCGUGAGUGAUGAAGGUUUUCGGAUCGUAAAACUCUGUUGUUAGGGAAGAACAAGUACGAGAGUAACUGCUCGUACCUUGACGGUACCUAACCAGAAAGCCACGGCUAACUACGUGCCAGCAGCCGCCGUAACAC
rnacentral:rRNA from 1 species